rnacentral:rRNA from 1 species
AGAGCGAACGCUGGCGGCAGGCCUAACACAUGCAAGUCGAGCGCCCGUAGCAAUACGGGAGCGGCAGACGGGAUAGUAACACGUGGGAACGCGCCCUUCGGUUCGGAAUAACUCAGGGAAACUUGAGCUAAUACCGGAUACGCCCUUACGGGGAAAGAUUUAUUGCCGAAGGAACGGCCCGCGUCCGAUUAGCUAGUUGGUGAGGUAAUGGCUCACCAAGGCGACGAUCGGUAGCUGGUCUGAGAGGAUGACCAGCAUCACUGGGACUGAGACACGGCCCAGACUCCUACGGGAGGCAGCAGUGGGGAAUAUUGGACAAUGGGCGCAAGCCUGAUCCAGCCAUGCCGCGUGGAUGAUGAAGGCCUUAGGGUUGUAAAGUCCUUUUAACGGGGAAGAUAAUGACGGUACCCGUAGAAUAAGCCCCGGCUAACCUUCGUGCCAGCAGCCGC